rnacentral:RNase_P_RNA from 1 species
GCGGAUGGCUGGAUGGCCGCGUGCGUCGCAGGGCGUGCGAGGAAAGUCCGGACUCCACGAGGAAAGGGCGCCGGGUAACGCCCGGCCGGGGAAACCCGAGGGAAAGCGCCACAGAAAACAGACGGCCCUGCAUGCAGGGUCACGGUGAAAAGGUGGGGCAAGAGCCCACCGCGCCCCCGGCAACGGGGGUGGCAUGGCAAGCCCCGCCCGGAGCAAUGCCAAAUAGGGGUCUCGGGGGCGGCAACGCCCAGGGCAUCCUCGGCCCAGAGACCCGGGUCGGCAGCUAGAUCCCGUCGGCAACGGCGGGGCCAGAUGAAUGGUCAUCCAGGGGGAAAACCCCCGGACAGAAUCCGGCUUACAGGCCAUCCGCGCGC